ACCCAACAUACCAAAAAUACAAUACAGCUUGAGAAUAAUAUUAUGAAAAUAGUUUAUCAUAAGAAUUUUUCAACAAUGCUUGAGAAACACUUUUUUGCACAAACUUUUCUCAAAUCUGUCCUUUGUUGACAAAUUUGUUUUGAUUUUUUUUUUUGUGAAAAUUGUCAACAAAAAAUUAUUUUCUUUGGUUAAAAUCAAAAUCAUGCGAAUUUAGGACCCAUUUCCGGACGAAACUCUAAGAAUGGAGGCGUCAAAAAGUUGCAGGAAUUCAACAGAAGUGAAGAAUAAGUGGAGGAGAUACAGAAGCUCAAAUAAGG